UACGUAGGGUGCAAGCGUUGUCCGGAAUUAUUGGGCGUAAAGAGCUCGUAGGCGGUUUGUUGCGUCGGCUGUGAAACUCCCGAGGCUCAACCCUCGGGUCUGCAGUCGAUACGAGCAAACUAGAGUGUUGCAGGGGAGACUGGAAUUCCUGGUGUAGCGGUGAAAUGCGCAGAUAUCAGGAGGAACACCGGUGGCGAAGGCGGGUCUCUGGGCAACAACUGACGCUGGAGGAGCGAAAGCGUGGGGAGCGAACAGG
rnacentral:rRNA from 1 species